UAGGGAAUCUUCGGCAAUGGACGGAAGUCUGACCGAGCAACGCCGCGUGAGUGAAGAAGGUUUUCGGAUCGUAAAGCUCUGUUGUUAGAGAAGAACGUUGGUAGGAGUGGAAAAUCUACCAAGUGACGGUAACUAACCAGAAAGGGACGGCUAACUACGUGCCAGCAGCCGCGGUAAUACGUAGGUCCCGAGCGUUGUCCGGAUUUAUUGGGCGUAAAGCGAGCGCAGGCGGUUCUUUAAGUCUGAAGUUAAAGGCAGUGGCUUAACCAUUGUAGGGGUUGGAAGCUGGAGGAGUUGAGUGCAGAAGGGGAGAGUGGAAUUCCAUGUGUAGCGGUGAAAUGCGUAGAUAGAUGGAGGAACGCCGGUGGCGAAAGCGGCUCUCGGGGCUGUAACUGACGCGGAGGCUCGAAAGCGUGGGGAGCAAACAGG
rnacentral:rRNA from 1 species